rnacentral:rRNA from 1 species
CCUACGGGUGGCAGCAGUGGGGAAUAUUGGGCAAUGGGCGAAAGCCUGACCCAGCAACGCCGCGUGAAGGAAGAAGGCUUUCGGGUUGUAAACUUCUUUUAUGAGGGACGAAAAAAAUGACGGUACCUCAUGAAUAAGCCACGGCUAACGACGUGCCAGCAGCAGCGGUAAUACGUAGGUGGCAAGCGUUAUCCGGAUUUACUGGGUGUAAAGGGUGUGUAGGCGGGACUGCAAGUCAGAUGUGAAAAUUAUGGGCUCAAACCAUAUCCUGGCUUUGAAACUGUAGUUCUUGAGUGAUGGAGAGGCAUGCGGAAUGCGGGGUGUAGCGGUGAAAUGCAUAGAUAUACGGAGGAACACCAAUGGCGAAGGCAGCCUGCUGGCCAUUAACUGACGCUGAUGCACGAAAGCGUGGGUAGCGAACAGGAUUAGAUACCCCUGUAGUC